rnacentral:rRNA from 1 species
CGGCGUGCUUAAUACAUGCAAGUCAACUGAAGCACCGGUAGUAAGUACUGGUGUGGAGGUGGCGCACGGGUGAGUAACACGUAGGUAAUCUGCCUUCAGGUCUGACAUAACCCCGAGAAAUCGGGGCUAAUAGCAGAUGAUGCAGCGGCUUGACAUCAAGACAGUUGUUAAAGCUUCGGCGCCUGAAGAUGAGCCUGCGUCUGAUUAGCUAGUUGGCGGAGUAAUGGCCCACCAAGGCUACGAUCAGUAACUGGUCUGAGAGGAUGAUCAGUCACACUGGAACUGAGACACGGUCCAGACUCCUACGGGAGGCAGCAGUAAGGAAUAUUGCUCAAUGGGAGAAAUCCUGAAGCAGCAACGCCGCGUGAGGGAUGAAGGGCUUUUGCUCGUAAACCUCUGUAGUGAGGGAAAAAUUUCCACUCUGUGGAAUAUGAUGGUACCUCAAAAGUAAGCCCCGGCUAACUACGUG